rnacentral:rRNA from 1 species
GAUCCUGGCUCAGAGUGAACGCUGGCGGCGUGCCUAAUACAUGCAAGUCGAACGGAGAUUAAGUAGCUUGCUAUUUAAUCUUAGUGGCGCACGGGUGAGUAAUAUAUAGCUAACUUGCCCAUUACUAAGGGACAACAGUUGGAAACGACUGCUAAUACCUUAUACUCCGUAUCUAUAUAAGUAGAUACGGGAAAGUUUUUCGGUAAUGGAUAGGGCUAUAUCGUAUCAGCUAGUUGGUAAGGUAAUGG